rnacentral:misc_RNA from 1 species
ACGAGCGUGCACGUGUUCCUUGGGAUCCUGGUGCUGGCGUGCGAGUUUGACGCACCACUUUUAAAACGGAUUGACGCGCGUCGGUUUCCCGCUAAUGGCAGGGUUCGCAUAAACGCACAGACACACCGCGAUAAGGCCAAUUUGACGGAUCGUUUCGCGUAGCCGACGAGCUGCCACCAUGUUGUUUGUCUGUGAAUAUGAGACGAUAUGACGAAUCCAAAUAGACGGCCGAGAAAUGGAAAGUUAGAAUUUUCUGACGGUCGUUAUCGUUAGAAGACAUCGGAAAUUAAUCGCGCGUUAUGCAAUCAGAUUAUGUCCUUUGCGAAAUGUCAAAGUACCAGAAGUAUCGCAUAUUAAGGAAAAAAAGUAACUGUAAAACCAGCUUAAGAUUUUUCAUUCUCGUACAAAUAUACAAGGCGCAAGAGAUGAAAUCAGAUUUAGCAGAAGAAGGAAAGGAUAUUUCAAACACGAUAUACUUUGUUCCUUUAACCCUUUGCACUCCGAAUUUUGUUUCAAUUUCGUUAGCAGCAGCUUCCAACGUUUUUAAGUGUUUAUUUGAAAUUUACUUUAACUAAAAAAUAAGACAAUUUAAAUAAAUAAG